rnacentral:rRNA from 1 species
CCCUUAGAUGUCCUGGGCUGCACGCGCGCUACACUGAUGUGUCCAGUAAGCACCUAACCUCUUCCGAAAGGAACGGGUAACCUUUGCAAAGCACAUCGUGAUGGGGAUAGAUUAUUGCAAUUAUUAGUCUUGAACGAGGAAUUCCUAGUAAGCACAAGUCAUCAGCUUGUGUUGAUUAUGUCCCUGCCCUUUGUACACACCGCCCGUCGCUCCUACCGAUUGAAUGUUCCGGUGAGCUCUUCGGACUGCGCGGUCUGCAGUUUCUGCGUUCCGUGCGGAAAGUUGCGCAAACCUUAACAUUUAGAGGAAGGAGAAGUCGUAACA